rnacentral:rRNA from 1 species
CCUACGGGUGGCAGCAGUCGAGAAUCAUUCACAAUGGGGGAAACCCUGAUGGUGCGACGCCGCGUGGGGGAAUGAAGGUCUUCGGAUUGUAAACCCCUGUCAUGUGGGAGCAAAUUAAAAAGAUAGUACCACAAGAGGAAGAGACGGCUAACUCUGUGCCAGCAGCCGCGGGAAUACAGAGGUCUCAAGCGUUGUUCGGAAUCACUGGGCGUAAAGCGUGCGUAGGCUGUUUCGUAAGUCGUGUGUGAAAGGCGCGGGCUCAACCCGCGGACGGCACAUGAUACUGCGAGACUAGAGUAAUGGAGGGGGAACCGGAAUUCUCGGUGUAGCAGUGAAAUGCGUAGAUAGCGAGAGGAACACUCGUGGCGAAGGCGGGUUCCUGGACAUUAACUGACGCUGAGGCACGAAGGCCAGGGGAGCGAAAGGGAUUAGAUACCCCUGUAGUC